rnacentral:rRNA from 1 species
GAGUUUGAUCAUGGCUCAGGAUGAACGUUGGCGGCGUGCCUAACACAUGCAAGUCGAACGGAGAUAGCAAUAUCUGAGUGGCGCACGGGUGAGUAACACGUAGCUUACCUCCCUCCGAGUGUGGGAUAACUCCGCGAAAGCGGCGCUAAUACCACAUAAGCUCACAAGCUGUAGAGGCUGGUGAGAAAAGGGGCAAUUCGCUCGGAGACGGGGCUGCGGCCCAUCAGCUAGUUGGCGCGGUAACGGCGCACCAAGGCGACGACGGGUAGGGGACCUGAGAGGGUGACCCCCCACACUGGGACUGAGACACGGCCCAGACUCCUACGGGAGGCAGCAGUGAGGAAUAUUGCACAAUGGGCGCAAGCCUGAUGCAGCGACGCCGCGUGGGUGACGAAGGUCUUCGGAUCGUAAAGCCCUUUUCUGCGUGACGAGCAAGGACGGUAGCGCAGGAAUAAGUCUCGGCU